rnacentral:rRNA from 1 species
CCUACGGGUGGCAGCAGUGGGGAAUAUUGCACAAUGGGGGAAAGCCUGACGCAGCGACGCCGCGUGAGGGAAGAAGGAAUUCGGUAUGUAAAGCUCUAUUAGCAGGGAAGAAAAUGACGGUACCUGAGUAAGAAGCCCCGGCUAACUACGGGCCAGCAGCCGCGGUAUGACGUAGGGGGCAAGCGUUAUCCGGAUUUACUGGGUGUAAAGGGAGCGUAGACGGGAGGGCAAGUCGGGAGGGAAAGGCGGGGGCUCAACCCCCGGACUGCUGUGGAAACUGUCCGGCUGGAGUGCAGGAGAGGUAAGUGGAAUUCCUGGUGUAGCGGUGAAAUGCGUAGAUAUUAGGAAGAACACCAGUGGCGAAGGCGGCUUACUGGACUGUAACUGACGUUGAGGCUCGAAAGCGUGGGGAGCAAACAGGAUUAGAUACCCGGGUAGUC